rnacentral:tRNA from 1 species
GGGGACGUAGUGUAGAGGCCUAACAUACUUGCCUGUCACGCAAGAGAUCGCGAGUUCGAAUCUCGUCGUCCCCG